GGUUCGCCGAGUAUAAGGUGGGGAGGCUUGGAUCUAUUCUUGCGGGAAUAUGGGAGCCAUCAGUGAGAUACCACUCUUGUAAUGUUAGAUUUCUAACUUUGUAUCAUUAUCUGGUCAAAGGACAGUUUCAGGCGGGCAGUUUGACUGGGGCGGUCGCCUCCCAAAUGGUAACGGAGGCGUACAAAGGUUUCCUCUGAACGUGUAGAAAUCGUAUCUAGAGUGUAAAGGCAUAAGGAAGCUUGACUGUGAGACCUACAAGUCGAGCAGGGACGAAAGUCGGUCUUAGUGAUCUGACGGUGCUGAGUGGAAAGGCCGUCACUCAACGGAUAAAAGUUACUCUAGGGAAACCCAGGCUGAA
rnacentral:rRNA from 1 species